AGCAGCCCCCCGCGGCCACCAAGCUCCCGCAGCUAGUGAUGCCGGAGGGCAGGGGGAGGGAUCCUGRAGCGCCUCGCAGGGCCGCACGCAGCAGAAACAAAGCCAUCUCUCUGAAGCAAAAAUGAAACAGACGUGGCCGAGGAAAGCCAAAUAUUUCCUGCCGUCCUGGUGAACACAAUCGAGCACGGCAGUGAAGCAAAAAUCAUUAGGUGGCUGGACUCAGACACAUCACGCUCCAGUUUGGGUUCCAAGGURCUUCUCUCUGGAUUUUCACCUGCCUUGCCAAAAAUGAUUGAUUACGCCGGGCCAACUGGGUGUCCGGCAAUCCCCAACAAAUGACUUUGGCCCCUAACAGCAGGCCUUGGCCAGAUAGAAAUCAAUAUUUCACCAUUAAAAUCUAUCAAAGAAGAGUUAAGGCACCAUCUGUCCCUGCCGCCUCUCUAUGGUGUGUGAACAUUAAAUCCGACACUUGUACUACAUGGGUAAUCAAUAUAUAGUGGUUCACAGAUCAUUUGUGGUCCCCUUUUAGCAGUGAUGGAUGUCUGGAAUCGUUGUGAUUCAUUUUGUCAGACCAUUAAACAAGAUUCUGUCCAGUUCCUUCCUGAUUUCA